rnacentral:rRNA from 1 species
GAUGAACGCUGGCGGCGUGCCUAAUACAUGCAAGUCGAGCGAACGGAUGAGGAGCUUGCUCCUCUGACGUUAGCGGCGGACGGGUGAGUAACACGUGGAUAACCUACCUAUAAGACUGGGAUAACUUCGGGAAACCGGAGCUAAUACCGGAUAAUAUAUUGAACCGCAUGGUUCAAUAGUGAAAGACGGUUUUGCUGUCACUUAUAGAUGGAUCCGCGCUGCAUUAGCUAGUUGGUAAGGUAACGGCUUACCAAGGCAACGAUGCAUAGCCGACCUGAGAGGGUGAUCGGCCACACUGGAACUGAGACACGGUCCAGACUCCUACGGGAGGCAGCAGUAGGGAAUCUUCCGCAAUGGGCGAAAGCCUGACGGAGCAACGCCGCGUGAGUGAUGAAGGUCUUCGGAUCGUAAAACUCUGUUAUUAGGGAAGAACAAAUGUGUAAGUAACUGUGCACGUCUUGACGGUACCUAAUCAGAAAGCCACGGCUAACUACGUG